AAACAAAUAAAAGGACCAAUUACUAUUCACGGAUAAAAAUAAACACCACCACAGCCAAGCCCGCACCAGUACCUCUCCACGCGCUCCGCCAUAACACACGCGCCUCUCCCUCUCUCUUGCUCUGAAAUGGCGAUCGCUCUCCACCUCUGCCACCGCAAAACCCGACCCGAUCUCUUCUUCUCCGAUAGCGUCGCCGGAAAAGCCUCUCUAAAUCGCCGGAAACUUCUCUCCGUCCGAUGCUCCUGCGACUCCUCCUCUACGGCCGCCGUCGAACCCGAAUUCGACGCCAAGGUGUUUCGCAAGAACUACAAUUGCAGAGGCUUCGGCCACAAAGAAGCGACCCUCGAGCUCAUGAACCGCGAUUAUACUGGUAAACUCCUUAGAAUUAGGAACUAAUCACUUAAUUUAAUUAAUUAUUAUUUUUUUAGGUGAUAUUUUCAAGACGUUGAAAGCGAACGGGUUGGAAUACACGUUGGGAAACGUGACGGUGAAACUCGCAGAGGCGCACGGGUUCUGCUGGGGCGUCGAGAGAGCAGUACAGAUUGCUUACGAGGCAAGAAAGCAGUUUCGUGAUGAAAAAGGUUUUGGAUCACCAACGAGAUCAUCCAUAAUCCAACGGUCAAUAAGCGAUUGGAGGAAAGGUAGAGAGAAUUCCGAGAGAGGGAGGGCGGCAGAGGCAAUUUGAGAUGGUGCACAAGGGCGAUGUGGUCAUUUUGCCUGCAUUUGGAGCUGGAGGAGUGGAUGAGAUGCUCACGUCGACUAACAAAGGUGUCUGGAACACUGUGGGGAAGCACAAGAAAGGAGACUACACUUCAAUCAUGGCAGACUUGUCAUUUGGCUUGUCCAAAUCUUUUGUAAACUUAAUACAAUUUUAUGAGUCUUAUACGGUUACAAACUUUCUUUAA